rnacentral:rRNA from 1 species
AACGAACGCUGGCGGCGUGGAUAAGACAUGCAAGUCGAACGGGACAUUGAGGUAGUAAUAUCUUGAUGUUCAGUGGCGAACGGGUGCGUAACACGUGGAUACAUUCCGGGAAGCGGGGGAUAGCCCAGGGAAACUUGGAUUAAUACCGCAUGUGGUCGAAAGACUAAAGACGGGGACCGAAAGGCCUGUCACUUCCUGAUUGGUCCGCGGCCUAUCAGCUAGUUGGUGAGGUAAUGGCUCACCAAGGCUACGACGGGUAGCUGGUCUAAGAGGACGACCAGCCACACUGGAACUGAGACACGGUCCAGACACCUACGGGUGGCAGCAGUCGAGAAUCUUUCACAAUGGGGGCAACCCUGAUGGAGCGACGCCGCGUGGAGGAUAAGGUCUUCGGAUUGUAAACUCCUGUCAUGCGAGAGCAAUGUUCGCGGGCUAACACCCCGCAAAACUGAUAGUAUCGCAAGAGGAAGAGACGGCUAACUUUGUGCCAGCCGCCGCCGUAAAAC